rnacentral:rRNA from 1 species
AAGGUGAAACCGCGAAAGGCUCAUUAAAUCAGUUAUGGUUCCUUAGAUCGUACCCACAAUUACUUGGAUAACUGUGGUAAUUCUAGAGCUAAUACAUGCAAACAGAGCUCCGACCGGAGACGGAAGGAGUGCUUUUAUUAGAUCAAAACCAAUCGGUGGCGGGUUCGCCCGUUAUCGUACAACUUGGUGACUCUGAAUAACUUUACGCUGAUCGCACGGUCAUCGCACCGGCGACGCGUCUUUCAAAUGUCUGCCUUAUCAACUGUCGAUGGUAGGUUCUGCGCCUACCAUGGUUGUAACGGGUAACGGGGAAUCAGGGUUCGAUUCCGGAGAGGGAGCCUGAGAAACGGCUACCACAUCCAAGGAAGGCAGCAGGCGCGCAAAUUACCCACUCCCGGCACGGGGAGGUAGUGACGAAAAAUAACGAUACGGGACUCAUCCGAGGCCCCGUAAUCGGAAUGAGUACACUCUAAACCCUUUAACGAGGAUCAAUUGGAGGGCAAGUCUGGUGCC